GACGAACGCUGGCGGCGUGCCUAAUACAUGCAAGUCGAGCGAAGUUUUUCUGGUGCUUGCACCGGAAAAACUUAGCGGCGAACGGGUGAGUAACACGUAAAGAACCUGCCUCAUAGACUGGGACAACUAUUGGAAACGAUAGCUAAUACCGGAUAACAGCAUUAACUGCAUGGUUGAUGUUUAAAGGUUGGUUUUGCUAACACUAUGAGAUGGCUUUGCGGUGCAUUAGCUAGUUGGUGGGGUAAAGGCCUACCAAGGCGACGAUGCAUAGCCGACCUGAGAGGGUGAUCGGCCACACUGGGACUGAGACACGGCCCAGACUCCUACGGGAGGCAGCAGUAGGGAAUCUUCCGCAAUGGGCGAAAGCCUGACGGAGCAACGCCGCGUGAGUGAAGAAGGAUUUCGGUUCGUAAAGCUCUGUUGUUAGGGAAGAAUGAUUGUGUAGUAACUAUACACAGUAGAGACGGUACCUAACCAGAAAGCCACGGCUAACUACGUGCCAGCAGCCGCGGUAAUACGUAGGUGGCAAGCGUUGUCCGGAAUUAUUGGGCGUAAAGCGCGCGCAGGUGGUUUAAUAAGUCUGAUGUGAAAGCCCACGGCUCAACCGUGGAGGGUCAUUGGAAACUGUUAAACUUGAGUGCAGGAGAGAAAAGUGGAAUUCCUAGUGUAGCGGUGAAAUGCGUAGAGAUUAGGAGGAACACCAGUGGCGAAGGCGGCUUUUUGGCCUGUAACUGACACUGAGGCGCGAAAGCGUGGGGAGCAAACAGG
rnacentral:rRNA from 1 species